ACGAACGCUGGCGGCACGCUUAACACAUGCAAGUCGAACGAGAGAAGAGGAGCUUGCUUUUCUGAUCUAGUGGCGGACGGGUGAGUAACACGUGAGCAAUCUGCCUUUCAGAGGGGGAUACCGAUUGGAAACGAUCGUUAAUACCGCAUAACAUAAUUGAACCGCAUGAUUUGAUUAUCAAAGAUUUAUCGCUGAAAGAUGAGCUCGCGUCUGAUUAGCUAGUUGGUAAGGUAACGGCUUACCAAGGCGACGAUCAGUAGCCGGACUGAGAGGUUGAUCGGCCACAUUGGGACUGAGACACGGCCCAGACUCCUACGGGAGGCAGCAGUGGGGAAUAUUGCACAAUGGAGGAAACUCUGAUGCAGCGAUGCCGCGUGAGGGAAGAAGGUUUUAGGAUUGUAAACCUCUGUCUUCAGGGACGAAAAAAGACGGUACCUGAGGAGGAAGCUCCGGCUAACUACGUGCCAGCAGCCGCGGUAAUACGUAGGGAGCGAGCGUUGUCCGGAAUUACUGGGUGUAAAGGGAGCGUAGGCGGGAUCGCAAGUCAGAUGUGAAAACUAUGGGCUUAACCCAUAAACUGCAUUUGAAACUGUGGUUCUUGAGUGAAGUAGAGGUAAGCGGAAUUCCUAGUGUAGCGGUGAAAUGCGUAGAUAUUAGGAGGAACAUCAGUGGCGAAGGCGGCUUACUGGGCUUUAACUGACGCUGAGGCUCGAAAGCGUGGGGAGCAAACAGGAUUAGAUACCCUGGUAGUCCACGCCGUAAACGAUGAUUACUAGGUGUGGGGGGACUGACCCCUUCCGUGCCGCAGCAAACGCAAUAAGUAAUCCACCUGGGGAGUACGACCGCAAGGUUGAAACUCAAAGGAAUUGACGGGGGCCCGCACAAGCGGUGGAGUAUGUGGUUUAAUUCGAAGCAACGCGAAGAACCUUACCAGGCCUUGACAUCCCUUGCAGAGGUAUAGAGAUAUAUCCGAGGUUAUCAAGGAGACAGGUGGUGCAUGGUUGUCGUCAGCUCGUGUCGUGAGAUGUUGGGUUAAGUCCCGCAACGAGCGCAACCCUUACUGUUAGUUGCUACGCAAGAGCACUCUAGCAGGACUGCCGUUGACAAAACGGAGGAAGGUGGGGAUGACGUCAAAUCAUCAUGCCCCUUAUGACCUGGGCCUCACACGUACUACAAUGGCUGUCAACAGAGGGAUGCAAAGCCGCGAGGUGGAGCGAACCCCUAAAAGCAGUCUUAGUUCGGAUUGUAGGCUGCAACCCGCCUACAUGAAGUCGGAAUUGCUAGUAAUCGCAGAUCAGCAUGCUGCGGUGAAUACGUUCCCGGGCCUUGUACACACCGCCCGUCACGCCAUGGGAGUCGGUAACACCCGAAGCCUGUAGUCUAACCGCAAGGAGGACGCAGUCGAAGGUGGGAUUGAUGACUGGGGUG
rnacentral:rRNA from 1 species